rnacentral:rRNA from 1 species
CAUGGCCUUGCGCCGGCGAUGGUUCAUUCAAAUUUCUGCCCUAUCAACUUUCGAUGGUAGGAUAGUGGCCUACCAUGGUAUCAACGGGUAACGGGGAAUUAGGGUUCUAUUCCGGAGAGGGAGCCUGAGAAACGGCUACCACAUCCAAGGAAGGCAGCAGGCGCGCAAAUUACCCAAUCCCGACACGGGGAGGUAGUGACAAUAAAUACUGAUACAGGGCUCUUUUGGGUCUUGUAAUUGGAAUGAGUACAAUUUAAAUCCCUUAACGAGGAACAAUUGGAGGGCAAGUCUGGUGCCAGCAGCCGCGGUAAUUCCAGCUCCAAUAGCGUAUAUUAAAGUUGUUGCAGUUAAAAAGCUCGUAGUUGAACCUUGGGCCUGGCUGGCCGGUCCGCCUCACCGCGUGUACUGGUCCGGCCGGGCCUUUCCUUCUGGGGAGCCGCAUGCCCUUCACUGGGCGUGUCGGGGAACCAGGACUUUUACUUUGAAAAAAUUAGAGUGUUCAAAGCAGGCCUUUGCUCGAAUACAUUAGCAUGGAAUAAUAGAAUAGGACGUGCGGUUCUAUUUUGUUGGUUUCUAGGACCGCCGUAAUGAUUAAUAGGGAUAGUCGGGGGCAUCAGUAUUCAAUUGUCAGAGGUGAAAUUCUUGGAUUUAUUGAAGACUAACUACUGCGAAAGCAUUUGCCAAGGAUGUUUUCAUUAAUCAGUGAACGAAAGUUAGGGGAUCGAAGACGAUCAGAUACCGUCGUAGUCUUAACCAUAAACUAUGCCGACUAGGGAUCGGGCGAUGUUAUCAUUUUGACUCGCUCGGCACCUUACGAGAAAUCAAAGUCUUUGG